ensembl:snRNA
GCCAUCCUUUUCUUGGGGUAGCGCUACUGUCCAAUGAACGGGUAGUGAGGACAGUACUGCUAACACCUACACAACACACCCGCAUCAACUAGAGCAAUAAAAGCUUUGCUUUACUUUGGUGCAAUUUUUGGAAAA